rnacentral:lncRNA from 10 species
CAGAAGCUUUCAGCUAAAAUACCAAUGUGUUAUUUUGGAGAGAGAACACAUGAACUCUGAGCAUUCACAAAUUGCCUAAGCAUGAACCAGUUUAUCAAGUCAUUUAAGUUGAGAGAAAGGUCCUCAAGGAAGGAAUUACAAAAUUGUGCUUUUUAUGGGACGUCGUGAGAAGGCUCAGGGAAGUUAUGAGGAGCAAGGCAAGGGUCACAGUCACAUUCACAGAACCUCAUUAGGGUGGAUCCACAGGACAUACUUCCCACUGCUCGCAGAAGUAUUACCACCCUUUGGAAUAAUCAAUCAAUCAAACCAACUCAACAAUCUUUCUUUUAAUGCUAGUGGCACAUAUUGACAUAAAAAUAAAAUUUUGCUUCCUG